AUUGAACGCUGGCGGCAGGCCUAACACAUGCAAGUCGAACGAGUGGCGGACGGGUGAGUAAUGUCUGGGAAUCUAGCUGAUGGAGGGGGAUAACUACUGGAAACUGUAGCUAAUACCGCGUACCAUAGGAUGAGCCCAGGUGGGAUUAGGUAGUUGGUGGGGUAAAGGCUCACCAAGCCGACGAUCCCUAGCUGGUCUGAGAGGAUGACCAGCCACACUGGGACUGAGACACGGCCCAGACUCCUACGGGAGGCAGCAGUGGGGAAUAUUGCGCAAUGGGGGCAACCCUGACGCAGCCAUGCCGCGUGUAUGAAGAAGGCCUGCGGGUUGUAAAGUACUUUCAGCGGGGAGGCGUUACCCGCAGAAGAAGCACCGGCUAACUCCGUGCCAGCAGCCGCGGUAAUAC
rnacentral:rRNA from 1 species